UACGUAGGGUGCAAGCGUUGUCCGGAAUUAUUGGGCGUAAAGAGCUCGUAGGCGGUCAGUCGCGUCUGCUGUGAAAACUCGGGGCUUAACUCCGGGCCUGCAGUGGGUACGGGCUGACUAGAGUGCGGUAGGGGAGACUGGAAUUCCUGGUGUAGCGGUGAAAUGCGCAGAUAUCAGGAGGAACACCAAUGGCGAAGGCAGCACUCUGGGACGUGACUGACGCUGAGACGCGAAAGCGUGGGGAGCAAACAGG
rnacentral:rRNA from 1 species